rfam:Perkinsus marinus ATCC 50983 gcontig_1104296293970, whole genome shotgun sequence.
GCCUUCUUAGCUUAAUUGGUAGAGCACUCGCUUAGUAAGCGGGAGGUCGUCGGUUCAACUCCGGCAGAAGGCU